rnacentral:tRNA from 1 species
GGGGGUUUAGCUCAGUGGCAGAGCGCUCGCUUUGCAUGCGAGAACAGGAGGGUUCGAACCCCUCAUCCUCCA